AAGGAAACCUAUUGCCUUUGGAGGAAGCUUAGUCUACUUUUGGACAGUUCUCACUGUUGGAAAAAUUUUCCUGAUACCAAGCUUGUAUUUGCUUCCUUGCAGCAUCUAACCAUUAUUCCUGGUUCUACCCUUUAGGAACAAAGAGAAAAAUUUUUCUAAAUGACACGUCUUCAAGUACCUAGAGAUGCUCUUCAGUUUAUCACUGUCUAUGAAUGAUGAUGCCCAGAACUAAACAGAAUAAUUUAGAUGUGAUCUUAUUGGGGCAGUAUGUAGAAAAACUAUCAUCUCCUUAUUCCUGGAAGAUACACCUCCUUUAAUGUGGUCUAAGAUUGCAAGGAAUUGUUUGGUUGCCACCUCAUACCACUUCUUCGUAUUGAAGUUGCUAUCCACUAACAUUACCAGGUUCUUUCUUGAUGAAUAUAUCCAAGGUCAUCAUGUUAAGCUUUCAUGGCAAGACUGUGG
rnacentral:lncRNA from 1 species